UACGGAGGGUGCAAACGUUGCUCGGAAUCAUUGGCGUAAAGCGCACGUAGGCGGCGCGUUAAGUCGGGUGUGAAGCCCUGGCUCAACCCAGGAAGUGCAUUCGAAACUGGCGCGCUUGAAUAUGGAAGAGGGUCGCGGAAUUCCCGGUGUAGAGGUGAAAUUCGUAGAUAUCGGGAGGAACGCCAAUGGCGAAGGCAGCUUGCUGGGACGGUACUGACGCUGAGACGCGAAAGCG
rnacentral:rRNA from 1 species